GGAAUAAACGCCAAUAUGGAUUCAGUAAAACCAAUGGCGGCCCGGGCGGAUUCGCUUCUCUUCUCCUCGAUCUUUCCCCGCCGAAACGCUCUUACCGGUCUUCGUCUCUUCCAUUCCCUGAGAUCCGCGAGCAGCCGUGCUAUCGACGCCCGUCGCAGUAGUAGUAAACUGGUUUCCAGACGAAUGGCGUCGGCGUCCAGCGACACCCGAGACGCUCCUCCGCCGAUCCACACCAUCACCUUGCCUGGUGGAGACUCCGUCCAGAUCGUAGCCGCCCCCGGCCUAUCCAAUUCCGAUCUCAGGAAUGCUAUAGAUUCAGCUCUGUUCAGGCAAUGGCUGAAGAAUAUGCAAAGUGAAAUGGGUGUUUUAUCUCGUGGGCAGAUGUGUUUAAGACAAGUGCACAUUCAGGGAUUGGAUAUGUUUGGAACAGGUGUUGGUUUUUUGAAGUUUAAAGCAGAUGUGGUUGAGAAGGAAACAGGAAGGAAGAUUCCAGGAAUUGUUUUUGCACGGGGACCUUCUGUUGCUGUGUUGAUUCUUUUGGAGUCAGGAGGGGAAACUUAUGUCGUUCUUACUGAGCAGGUUCGUGUUCCUGUUGGAAAGUUUAUAUUGGAACUACCAGCUGGCAUGUUAGAUGAUGAAAGAGGUGAUGUUGUGGGCACAGCAGUCCGUGAGGUUGAGGAGGAGACAGGGAUAUGCUUAAACAUCGAAGAUAUGGUUAAUCUCACAGCAUUUCUUGACCCAACAACUGGAUGCAAAGUUUUUCCAUCACCGGGUGGAUGUGAUGAAGAAUUGAGCCUAUUUCUAUACAGAGGGCAUGUCGAGGAGCAAAUUAUAAAUUCAUUGCAGGGAAAGGAAAUGGGCCUUCGGGACCAUGGUGAACUGAUCAAGUUUGCUGCUUGGUCAGCAGCAGUGCUGGUGAAGCAAUGCCCCUCAGAGACUGUCAAGUUGCCACGAAUCUGCCACGUCCCAGUUCGAGUUCUAGUCAUCCCCUCCAUUACUGCUCAUACCUUGCUGCUGGAUUCCCCUCUGCCCCCUACAUCAUUCUAAGAUCACAAGAUGAAGCCUGCUGCAAAUUUAUGCUGAACUGCAUAGCCUAAGAUGCGCACUUUUGAGUGCGCACAACUCCAGCUUCAGAUGGUGCUGCCUUCUGCUUCUAAAGGUGCCAAGAGUCACCAACUUGUGGCAAUCAAUGAUUGGAUGCAAAAUCAAGGAAUGAGACCCGACAAUACGUUAACCACUUCUAGCUCAUAAAAUCAAAAAGGAUGAGAGAAUACAAGAAAGAUGGAACCAAGGCAUGGUUAUCCCAAAUGAAAUCUCUGAAAUGCUGAGCCGCAAAGAUGCCAUCCAUCCGCACUGUUUGCCUUUCUGUAGGCAUGAGUAGCCCAAUGAGAGGUGUACUCAUCCAAAAGUCGACGGAUAUGGUGAAUCAAUCACAUUCCACCGGCUGCACGAUCCGAAUUCUGGAUCUACUCGAGUACUGUAGCAGAAUCUUCCUCAAAGACGAUACAGUCCGCGCCCUUCACUCACCAUAGAUAACUAGCCUAAAAGACGGAGCCCAUGAGCUAUCGCUCAUGGUGGUUGAACCAUACCUUUGGCAGGUCCACCGCAUCACAUUCA